rnacentral:rRNA from 1 species
UCGGCUUAGAGUUUGAUCAUGGCUCAGAUUGAACGCUGGCGGCAGGCUUAACACAUGCAAGUCGAGCGGUAGGGGAGCUUGCUCCCUACGAGCGGCGGACGGGUGAGUAAUGUCUGGGAAACUGCCUGAUGGAGGGGGAUAACUACUGGAAACGGUAGCUAAUACCGCAUAACGUCGCAAGACCAAAGAGGUUCGUCUUGCCAUCAGAUGUGCCCAGAUGGGAUUAGCUAGUAGGUGGGGUAAUGGCUCACCUAGGCGACGAUCCCUAGCUGGUCUGAGAGGAUGACCAGCCACACUGGAACUGAGACACGGUCCAGACUCCUACGGGAGGCAGCAGUGGGGAAUAUUGCACAAUGGGCGCAAGCCUGAUGCAGCCAUGCCGCGUGUGUGAAGAAGGCCUUCGGGUUGUAAAGCACUUUCAGCGAGGAGGAAAGGUGGUGAGUAAUCUCAUCAAUUGACGUUACUCGCAGAAGAAGCACCGGCUAACUCCGUGCCAGCAGCCGCGGUAAUACGGAGGGUGCAAGCGUUAAUCGGAAUACUGGGCGUAAA